rnacentral:rRNA from 1 species
CAGCACCUCAAGUGGUCAGGAUGAUUAUUGGGCCUAAAGCAUCCGUAGCCGGCGCUGUAAGUUUUCGGUUAAAUCUGUACGCUCAACGUACAGGCUGCCGGGAAUACUGCAGCGCUAGGGAGUGGGAGAGGUAGACGGUACUCGGUAGGAAGGGGUAAAAUCCUUUGAUCUGUUGAUGUCCACCUGUGGCGAAGGCGGUCUACCAGAACACGUCCGACGGUGAGGGAUGAAAGCUGGGGGAGCAAACCGGAUUAGAUACCCGAGUAGUCC